AUGAGCAAGCUGCAUACGAAGGCGAGGCUGUAUGUGGAUGACAUGGCCCCAGGCACCGGCGAUGCGGACCUCCUCCGCCACUUCGGAAGCUACGGGGACGUGGCUGACAUCUUCAUUCCCACUGACCGCCUCACCGUCGGCCCCCGCUGCUGUGCCUUUGUGCAGUUCUCUAGCCUUCGUGAUGCCGGCCGUGCCCUCGCCGACCCAUGCCAUGUCAUCAACGGCCGGGAGGUACCUAUGUCAACCUUGUUCGCAGUUUCUUCUUGA
rnacentral:rRNA from 1 species